rnacentral:rRNA from 1 species
CAGUAACUGCGAGUGAAGAGGGAAGAGCUCAUCAUUGGAAUCUGGCAGUGUUGCACUGUCCGAGUUGUAGAUGAGGAGUAGUUCAUCUGGACUGCAUGGCGUCCAAGUACAAUAGGCCGUCAGUGGGACAUCAUAGAGGGUGACAAUCCCGUCCUUGACGCUAAUGUGCAAGUCCGUUACGAUGGCUAUCUCAGAGAGUCGAGCAGUUUGGGAUUUGCUGCUUAAACAUGGGAGGUAGAUUCCUUCUAAAGCUAAAUACAGGCGAGAGACCGAUAGAGAACAAGUACCGCAAGGGAAAGAUGAAAUAGCACUCUGUGAAGGGAGUCAAAAGACGUGAAAUUGUUGCGAGAGAAGCGAUUCAAGUCAGCGUAGCUAGGCCCAUUAAGCCUCUUUGCUUUGGACUAGCUUUGCCAGCGGUCUUGUCCUAGAGACUUGACUUGUAAAUGUCCAGCCUGGUUUGCACAGGUAGCCCCCUCUGGGGGUCAGUGGCAUGGCUGGUGGAAUGGCUUGCAAUCGACCCGUCUUGAAACACGGACCAAGGAGUCUAACAUGUAUGCGAGUAUAAGGGUGGCAAACCCGUAUGCGCAAUGAAAGUGAUUUUCGGUGAUUGAGAAUGGCCUGAUGACCAGACAAGCAAUACAUGUCCCUCGUACGGCCAUUGCCCAAGUUCCGUGGUAGAUCCCAUGAACAUGGAGUUGGAGCAUACAUGCUAGGACCCGAAAGAUGGUGAACUAUGCCUGGACAAAGCGAAGCCAAAGGAAACUCUGGUGGAGGCUUGUAGCGAUUCUGACGUGCAAAUCGAUCGUCUGAUCUGGGUAUAGGGGCGAAAGACUAAUCGAACCAUCUCAUAGCUGGUUCCUGCCGAAGUUUCCCUCAGGAUAGCAGAGACCUAGUGGAAGUUGCAUGUGGUAAAGCGAAUGAUUAUUGAUCCUGGGGCUCAAAUGGGCCUCAGUCUAUUCUCAAACUGUGAAUGCGUGCGGUUGGACUGUGCUUAGCAAUAGAAG